GACGAACGCUGGCGGCGUGCUUAACACAUGCAAGUCGAACGGAAAGGCCCCUUUGGGGGUACUCGAGUGGCGCACGGGUGAGUAACACGUGAGUAACCUGCCCUUGACUUCGGGAUAACUUCAGGAAACUGGGGUUAAUACCGGAUAGGAAUCCUUGCUGCAUGGUGGGGGUUGGAAAGCUUCGGCGGUUUUGGAUGGACUCGCGGCUUAUCAGCUUGUUGGUGGGGUAGUGGCUUACCAAGGCUUUGACGGGUAGCCGGCCUGAGAGGGCGACCGGCCACAUUGGGACUGAGAUACGGCCCAGACUCCUACGGGAGGCAGCAGUGGGGAAUAUUGCACAAUGGGCGGAAGCCUGAUGCAGCAACGCCGCGUGCGGGAUGACGGCCUUCGGGUUGUAAACCGCUUUCAGCAGGGGCGAAGCUUGUGGUGACGGUACCUGCAGAAGAAGCACCGGCUAACUACGUG
rnacentral:rRNA from 1 species